rnacentral:tRNA from 1 species
GUUUUUAUAAUUUAAUAAAAAUGUUAAUUUUGUAAAUUAAUUUUGCUUUAUAAGCUAAAAACU